GUGAGGAAUAUUGGUCAAUGGACGAGAGUCUGAACCAGCCAAGUCGCGUGAAGGAAGACGGUUCUAUGAAUUGUAAACUUCUUUUGUGCAGGAAUAAAGUGGGUUACGUGUAACCUUUUGUAUGUACUGUACGAAUAAGGAUCGGCUAACUCCGUGCCAGCAGCCGCGGUAAUACGGAGGAUCCGAGCGUUAUCCGGAUUUAUUCGGUUUAAAGGGUGCGUAGGUGGAUUGAUAAGUCAGCGGUGAAAGUUUGCAGCUUAACUGUAAAAUGGCCGUUGAAACUGUCGGUCUUGAGUGCAAAUGAGGUAGGCGGAAUGUGUUGUGUAGCGGUGAAAUGCUUAGAUAUAACACAGAACUCCGAUUGCGAAGGCAGCUUACUGGGAUGCAACUGACACUGAUGCACGAAAGCGUGGGUAUCAAACAGGAUUAGAUACCCUUGUAGUCC
rnacentral:rRNA from 1 species